UACGAGGGGGGCAAGCGUUGUUCGGAUUUAUUGGGCGUAAAGGGUGCGUAGGCGGUUUGGCAAGUCUUAUGUGAAAUCUUCGGGCUCAACCCGAAGCCUGCAUAAGAAACUGCCGGGCUUGAGUAUGGGAGAGGUGAGUGGAAUUUCCGGUGUAGCGGUGAAAUGCGUAGAUAUCCGGAGGAACACCGGUGGCGAAGGCGGCUUCCUGGACCGACACUGACGCUGAGGCGCGAAAGCUAGGGGAGCAAACGGG
rnacentral:rRNA from 1 species